rnacentral:rRNA from 1 species
CCUACGGGAGGCAGCAGUGGGGGAUAUUGCACAAUGGGGGAAACCCUGAUGCAGCGACGCCGCGUGGGUGAAGAAGUAUUUCGGUAUGUAAAGCCCUAUCAGCAGGGAAGAAAGAAGACGGUACCUGACUAAGAAGCCCCGGCUAACUACGUGCCAGCAGCCGCGGUAAUACGUAGGGGGCGAGCGUUAUCCGGAUUCACUGGGGGUAAAGGGAGCGUAGACGGCCGUGCAAGCCAGGAGUGAAAGCCCGGGGCCCAACCCCGGGACUGCUCUUGGAACUGUGCGGCUGGAGUGCGGGAGGGGCAGGCGGAAUUCCUGGUGUAGCGGUGAAAUGCGUAGAUAGCAGGAGGAACACCGGCGGCGAAGGCGGCCUGCUGGACCGCGACUGACGUUGAGGCUCGAAAGCGUGGGGAGCGAACAGGAUUAGAUACCCGGGUAGUC